rnacentral:rRNA from 1 species
UUGAACGCUGGCGGCAGGCCUAACACAUGCAAGUCGAGCGGCAGCGGGAAGUAGUUUACUACUUUGCCGGCGAGCGGCGGACGGGUGAGUAAUGUCUGGGAAACUGCCUGAUGGAGGGGGAUAACUACUGGAAACGGUAGCUAAUACCGCAUAACGUCUUCGGACCAAAGUGGGGGACCUUCGGGCCUCACGCCAUCGGAUGUGCCCAGAUGGGAUUAGCUAGUAGGUGGGGUAAUGGCUCACCUAGGCGACGAUCCCUAGCUGGUCUGAGAGGAUGACCAGCCACACUGGAACUGAGACACGGUCCAGACUCCUACGGGAGGCAGCAGUGGGGAAUAUUGCACAAUGGGCGCAAGCCUGAUGCAGCCAUGCCGCGUGUGUGAAGAAGGCCUUCGGGUUGUAAAGCACUUUCAGCGAGGAGGAAGGCCAAUAACUUAAUACGUUGUUGGAUUGACGUUACUCGCAGAAGAAGCACCGGCUAACUCCGUGCCAGCAGCCGCGGUAAUACGGAGGGUGCAAGCGUUAAUCG